CAUCUACAGCUGUGACAUUUAAAGGCACUGAAGUAAUGUUACCGUGACAGCAGUGAUGAUAUUGUAAUGCUUGUAAUGUAAUGUCACACAGAAAUGUGUCGAUUUGAAAUUUAUGACAAAAAUAUCUUUGGUAUUUUUUUAUUUUAUUUUAUUUUUUUUACAUUUUUACUCUUUAAAUUGGCAAUAACUCAAAGGGAAUAAUCCUUCAAACUAAAUUGUUCUGAAACAAUAGCACUCUUCUGACUACAGCCGAGUUCUCAUAUGCCACAAAAAGAGUUGUUUAAAUUUUCAUCACUUGGAGAAUGAUAGGUUUGAUAGAGAGUAUUCUUUCAUCUCAGGAAAUGUAAUAAUGUAAUAUGUGAAAGAUACGAAUAUAUGAUUAGUUCAUGAAAUUUGAAAGAGGUUUUGAUGUUCUUACAGAUACAUGGGAAGUAUAUUAAUUAUCAUCCAUCUCGGUUAACAGUUGUAGAGGUGAAACAAAAUAAUUGAACAUGAAAACUGUAACUAUCAAACACGAUCUAAUUGUGAUGUUUAACCUUAGAGAAGAUACUGGCUUCUUCAUUCCUCUUUAGCAUUUAGUUUUAUUUUUUCUAGUAUAAAUUGGUGUUUUUCCUCUAAAUAAUAUUGUAAUCAUUAUAUGGUUAACGGCAUUUCAUUAAUCAUGUUCAGCCAUUGAUGUGAUUUUGUACUUAAUGCUUUAAAUCCACUCAACCUCUGCAGUGUCUGCAGUGUUUACAGGGAGCCCAAUAUGAUUUUACUGUGGGUAUAAAAAAAAACAUAUGACUCUGAGCACUUUGACUGGUGUAUGGUGAAAGUUCACCAACAUUCCCAAAAAAAAUCUAAGGUCUCGUUGCAGCGUGUCCCUAUCAUCUUCAGACUUCAAAGUCCAAAAACUGAAACGUCUUCAGUGAUUAAUGAGCAGUAAUUAAGAGUUUUUACUCCUGAUUGGUUUGCUAUAGUCAGACAUACAGAACUCUCCUAAUAAUGUUUACACAUGCAGUAGUUUUGUUGUGUGAAAGGAGACAAAAUAGAUCAUAAGUUCUCAGAAGGAGAGAAGGUUGCACGCAUGUUCACACCUUGCACAGUACACCCAAAGAUCCUCUAUACUAAAGAUGGUAUGAAGCGGUACACACUUCCUGUCUCCUAAAUGGGCAUGGCCUGGAUUCAAAGUGUCGACUCUGUGUACCAUUUGCACUAGAUGUGUUUUGCAGCUGACUCGACCUGAAGUGGCAGCUAGCAGGUGCUGCUGUCAUCAUUUUGCAACGUAUUUUCGCUUGGAUGAUCUUCCACUGGCUUCACGCUGCUGUUAAGAAAGUUUUAAAAAGUUCUGAGUGGAGUACAGACUCAUGAUCAUUUAAAAGAUUAAAAGGCCUAUCUAUGAACAGCAUGAAAAGCAGUGUUUGGGUGCUUAUCCAGGAAGCUGUUUGGACACAUUCAUAAUGAAACUGUGAGGGGGGAGGGGGCUUUUUGGCUGUGUCAGUGCUAAUUAGCUCAAGCCUUUGAUCUGGUGUGCUGCUUUUGACUACGGCUGAAAGUGUCUACCUUUAAUUAGGACUCAGAAUAUAUCACUUAUUGUAUGCAGUCCUGUUCUUUAUACCCUAUAUCUUUGAUCCCAGAUUCCAGCUCAUCAGCUUCUUUCUGUGUCGGCCAGCAAUAGUCGUUUGAGUUGAUUGAAUGUUGCGUGCCAAAAAAUAACUCUUCAAAGCUGUACCGUACUUUUCAGGGUGUGUUUGUGGCUUGUGCUGACAUUGAAAUCUAAACUACUUCUAUGCAUUCAUACUGAUGUUGAAUAAAUCCAUAUCAACCAAAA